rnacentral:rRNA from 1 species
AGGAACCGUACCCCAAACCGACACAGGUGGUUGGGUAGAGAAUACCAAGGCGCUUGAGAGAACUCGGGUGAAGGAACUAGGCAAAAUGGCACCGUAACUUCGGGAGAAGGUGCGCCGGUGAGGGUGAAGGACUUGCUCCGUAAGCCCACGCCGGUCGAAGAUACCAGGCCGCUGCGACUGUUUAUUAAAAACACAGCACUCUGCAAACACGAAAGUGGACGUAUAGGGUGUGACGCCUGCCCGGUGCCGGAAGGUUAAUUGAUGGGGUUAGCUAACGCGAAGCUCUUGAUCGAAGCCCCGGUAAACGGCGGCCGUAACAAUAACGGUCCUAAGGUAGCGAAAUUCCUUGUCGGGUAAGUUCCGACCUGCACGAAUGGCGUAACGAUGGCGGCGCUGUCUCCACCCGAGACUCAGUGAAAUUGAAAUCGCUGUGAAGAUGCAGUGUAUCCGCGGCUAGACGGAAAGACCCCGUGAACCUUUACUAUAGCUUUGCACUGGACUUUGAAUUUGCUUGUGUAGGAUAGGUGGGAGGCUUUGAAGCGUGGACGCCAGUUCGCGUGGAGCCAACCUUGAAAUACCACCCUGGCAACUUUGAGGUUCUAACUCAGGUCCGUUAUCCGGAUCGAGGACAGUGUAUGGUGGGUAGUUUGACUGGGGCGGUCUCCUCCUAAAGAGUAACGGAGGAGUACGAAGGUGCGCUCAGACCGGUCGGAAAUCGGUCGUAGAGUAUAAAGGCAAAAGCGCGCUUGACUGCGAGACAGACACGUCGAGCAGGUACGAAAGUAGGUCUUAGUGAUCCGGUGGUUCUGUAUGGAAGGGCCAUCGCUCAACGGAUAAAAGGUACUCCGGGGAUAACAGGCUGAUACCGCCCAAGAGUUCAUAUCGACGGCGGUGUUUGGCACCUCGAUGUCGGCUCAUCACAUCCUGGGGCUGAAGCCGGUCCCAAGGGUAUGGCUGUUCGCCAUUUAAAGUGGUACGCGAGCUGGGUUUAGAACGUCGUGAGACAGUUCGGUCCCUAUCUGCCGUGGACGUUUGAGAUUUGAGAGGGGCUGCUCCUAGUACGAGAGGACCGGAGUGGACGAACCUCUGGUGUUCCGGUUGUCACGCCAGUGGCAUUGCCGGGUAGCUAUGUUCGGAAUAGAUAACCGCUGAAAGCAUCUAAGCGGGAAACUAGCCUCAAGAUGAGAUCUCACUGGGACCUUGAGUCCCCUGAAGGGCCGUCGAAGACUACGACGUUGAUAGGUUGGGUGUGUAAGCGCUGUGAGGCGUUGAGCUAACCAAUACUAAUUGCCCGUGAGGCUUGACUA